rnacentral:rRNA from 1 species
GAUGAACGCUGGCGGCGUGCCUAAUACAUGCAAGUCGAGCGAACAGACGAGGAGCUUGCUCCUCUGACGUUAGCGGCGGACGGGUGAGUAACACGUGUAUAACCUACCUAUAAGACUGGGAUAACUUCGGGAAACCGGAGCUAAUACCGGAUAAUAUAUUGAACCGCAUGGUUCAAUAGUGAAAGACGGUUUUGCUGUCACUUAUAGAUGGAUCCGCGCCGCAUUAGCUAGUUGUUACGGUAACGGCUUACCAAGGCAACGAUGCGUAGCCGACCUGAGAGGGUGGUCGGCGACACUGGAGCUGGAACGCGGUCAAGAGUCCUAAGGGAGGCAGCAGUAGGGAAUGUUCCGCAAUAGGCGAGAGCAUGACGGAGCGACGGCGCGUGAGUGAUGAAGGUCUUCGGAUCGUAAAACUGUGUUAUUAGGGAAGAACAGAUGUGUAAGUAACUAUGCACGUCUUGACGGUACCUAAUCAGAAAGCCACGGCUAACUACGUG